GCCUGGGCGGCUCAGUCGGUGAAGCCUCCGACUUCAGUUCAGGUCAUGAUCUCACAGUCUGUGGGUUCAAGCCCCACUUCAGGCU
rnacentral:tRNA from 1 species